GACGAACGCUGGCGGCGUGCUUAACACAUGCAAGUCGAACGGAAAGGCCCUGCUUUGCUGGGGUGCUCGAGUGGCGAACGGGUGAGUAACACGUGAGUAACCUGCCCUUGACUUUGGGAUAACUUCAUGAAACUGGGGCCAAUUCCGGAUAGGGUCUCCGGCUGCAUGGUGGGGGUUGUAAAGGUUCGGAGGUGGGGGAUGGACUGGCGGGUUAUCAUUUUGUUGUUGGGGUGGUGGCUGACCAAGGCGUUGACGGGUAGUCGGCCUGAGAGGGUGACCGGCACACUUGGGAGACACAUACGGCAGGCAGUCCUACGGGAGGCAGCGGUGGGGAAUCAACCCCGAUGGGCGGACGCCUGAUGAAGCAACGCCGCCUGCGGGUUGACGGCCUUCGUUGUGUAGAAAGAUCUCGACUGUGACGAAGCCUGAGUGACGGUACUGGGUAAAAAAGCACCGGCUAACUACGUG
rnacentral:rRNA from 1 species